CCGGCCAAUGCAAAGAGAACUUUUACUU
rnacentral:piRNA from 1 species